GUUUGUAAGUAAAGUACGUUAUAUGAAUUUCGGAACCACUGUAAUGCAGAUGGCUCAGGAUUAUAUAAAAAAGUAGUGAAUAGCCUGGGUUCAUACCAGUGGUGUAAAAUAGAGAGUGCUGUCACACUUUCAAUUUUAGUAAUUAACAGUGAACGUGAAAGGAAGAAGGUGACAGGGAAAAAGAAAGUGACGUCAUAUCAGUAAGUAAAAGUAAUGACAUUACACAGGUAAAUUAGCGUCAUGGUGUAAAAGUUAAAGUAGUCUGAUUUAAAACUGUUUACUAAGGUGUUUAACGUUUUAGGAUAAGGUGUGUAAGGGUAAGGGGUGUUAGGGUUAUAAUUUGAAUAGGAGUACAGGGUGAUGUUUUUUAAAUCGAAAAAUAAACAGAAUAUAGAAAUAUUUUUAUAAGUAUUAAGAUUAUGAUGGCAUCUUAUAUUCAUUGAUCUGAAUACCUUUGUCACAAAAGAAAAACAAAAAUGGAAGGACCUGCCAACAAGUGAGGUGAACCAAAUUAUUGACACUACAAGUGUGGAUGAAAUAUUUUGUGAUAGUUACCUACUAAUCUUGAAGGUCAAGGAAGUUGGUAACAAGUAAGGUGUGGGCUUAUAGUGUCUUGUAGUACGAAACGAGAACGUUGGAAGGACCGUUCAUCAGACGUACGAUCGCCUACACCCUAAUUAGACAGAAAACCGC
rnacentral:lncRNA from 1 species